AUUGAACGCUGGCGGCAGGCCUAACACAUGCCGGUCGAGCGGAUGAAGGGAGCUUGCUCCUGGAUUCAGCGGCGGACGGGUGAGUAAUGCCUAGGAAUCUGCCUGGUAGUGGGGGAUAACGUCCGGAAACGGGCGCUAAUACCGCAUACGUCCUGAGGGAGAAAGUGGGGGAUCUUCGGACCUCACGCUAUCAGAUGAGCCUAGGUCGGAUUAGCUAGUUGGUGGGGUAAAGGCCUACCAAGGCGACGAUCCGUAACUGGUCUGAGAGGAUGAUCAGUCACACUGGAACUGAGACACGGUCCAGACUCCUACGGGAGGCAGCAGUGGGGAAUAUUGGACAAUGGGCGAAAGCCUGAUCCAGCCAUGCCGCGUGUGUGAAGAAGGUCUUCAGAUUGUAAAGCACUUUAAGUUGGGAGGAAGGGCAGUAAGUUAAUACCUUGCUGUUUUGACGUUACCAACAGAAUAAGCACCGGCUAACUUCGUG
rnacentral:rRNA from 1 species